rnacentral:rRNA from 1 species
CCUACGGGUGGCAGCAGUGAGGAAUAUUGGUCAAUGGACGAGAGUCUGAACCAGCCAAGUAGCGUGAAGGAUGACUGCCCUAUGGGUUGUAAACUUCUUUUAUAUGGGAAUAAAAUGUUCCACGUUUGGGAUUUUGUAUGUACCAUAUGAAUAAGGAUCGGCUAACCCCGUGCCAGCAGCCGCGGUUAUACGGAGGAUCCGAGCGUUAUCCGGAUUUAUUGGGUUUAAAGGGGGCGUAGGUGGUGUGUUAAGUCAGGUGUGAAAGUUUGGGGCUCAACCGGAGAAUUGCAGUUGAAACUGGGAGGCUUGAGUGCACGAGGGGUGGGCGGAAUGCGUGGUGUAGCGGUGAAAUGCUUAGAUAUCACGAAGAACUCCGAUUGCGAAGGCAGCUGACUGGAGUGCAACUGACGCUGAGGCUCGAAAGUGUGGGUAUCAAACAGGAUUAGAUACCCCUGUAGUC